AUUGACUCGAUUAAUAUAGAAAUAAUAUGAGUAAUUGAUCGAUUAACGUAGAAAUAGGUCAUCAUAGUGGAACGUAACAAGCGUUCUACACAAAUUAUAAAACAUUUUUCAUGUUUAAGAGAAAGUAAGUUGCUUUGGUCGAAAGUUAACGCAACUUAUAUAUUCGUUGGCCACGAACGUUUCAGUAACGCGCGUAUCUCGUGUCGUUAUUUGUCGAGAGUUGCGUUGAAGAAAGCCAGUGUCCGGAUGAAACGUGCAGCAGCCGAGUUUGUUUGGAAAUUUGAUGCAGAGGCGAAUCGAAAAAUGUUGGAUGCAUGUUUUAAAGCUCGAACGCUGUAAAUUAUUUCGCGUUUUUCCGUGCGGCCGGGGAAUCGAAACGCGUAACGACCACGUUGAAUUAUGAUCGAAUUUCCGUCGGAAAAUACGGGCCAACGGAGAGACGAAGUACGAAUUAGAUAUAGAAAUAUACUGGUUAGUCGGCUGAUUCUAGGCGAAUAAGAAAAUAUGGAUCUCGUUAGUUUUUGUCUCCGCGCGUACGUUUUAUUUCCGAUUUUAAUGGUGUACGCUUUUUUAUCAUUACUUCAUUUCCCAGGAAAUAUUAGUGUAUACAUAUAU
rnacentral:misc_RNA from 1 species